GUUCUGUCGCGACCGAAAAUAGUCAGUAAAGCCAAGGCGUCCUAAGGGUCGCGCAUCCUGUCGUGAUUAACGGCAAACAGAUUGCACACGGUUGAUCUCCACUUAGAGGUUGGGAGUCUCAAAGUCUAACUGUCAAAAUGAUUCUUGGUUAUCCUAGGAGCAGAGCGCCUGUUACCGACUGGUUGCUUACGCGACGGCAACGCUCCCUCUGUGUAGGUAUAUGGGUAAAGCGCGCUAAUUCUGCAAGGAAUAACAAACGGUUCGAUUUAACGAUGAGGUUAUGCAACUGGCUUGUGUUUAGACAGGUAUGAGUUUUCGCGGGAUUCCUCGACUUCGCUGAUGGGAAUCAGAGGGACGAGAGUAACGCGUGGAAAGACGCUUGUGUAUUUUCACAGCCUCCCGACGUAGCAUCCGUCUUCACGCAUGCUGCCUCACUUGUGCGUACAUCAACUUUUCAUAUUUCGUAGCUUUACGAUCGCUUUUACUAACUCCAUAGACAAGCCAUGAAGUUACUUAAGGCACUGGGGUUAGAAAUAGAAUGGAAACCGGAUGGAAACGUGAACUCGCCAAUUUCAUAUCGUUAACGGCCCCAUAGUAAUAAGAGAACUACGACCUAAAGACACGAGGGGAGUAAUUCGAAGACACGUUGGGGACUAAUUCGGAGGCGUAAGGCCGACACGUACAGGCGAUCUCAGGAGAACGAGGAGGAUGAGACUACAGCGGUGAACCUUAGAGAAUGUUAAAGGGGCUUUAGCAAGGUCUUAAAACCCGAAGAUUUACAUCGACGGAAUAUCAAAGUCGGCCUGUGGGGGCUUCUGGUCUUUAGCGUGCGAGAGUGUGCCGUGUAAUUUACGAGGCGAGGAAGAGUGACGGAUCCCAAAGAAAAUAUAACGAAGAUGGAGGAGGAGAACAGAGAUGGCUGUCAUGUGGAUCUGUGUAGACUUUCAGAAUUUGCAAAAUUAAGAAAUUACUUGCACUCUGGUAUACUCGUGGGCAUUCGUAGUGGUAACACUUAGGUUAUGUUUUCAUGACGAGGAAGAGUUUACGAGCCGCGACAUUUCACAAGUACCUCGAUGGACGUCGCUGGCUCCUUUCUGCCGAUCAGACGUCAAGAGGUUUGCUGAGCAGUCGUCACGCCCGACUCAUAGAAACCAGCCAUUUCACUAGUGUCGCUGGUAACAGUUUACAUUUCGAUCGCGUCAGCCGAGCUUUUUACAAAUUAAACAAUUAAAAACC